rnacentral:rRNA from 1 species
UACGUAGGGUGCGAGCGUUGUCCGGAAUUAUUGGGCGUAAAGAGCUCGUAGGCGGUUUGUCGCGUCUGCUGUGAAAACCGGAGGCUCAACCUCCGGCCUGCAGUGGGUACGGGCAAACUAGAGUGCGGUAGGGGAGAUUGGAAUUCCUGGUGUAGCGGUGGAAUGCGCAGAUAUCAGGAGGAACACCGAUGGCGAAGGCAGAUCUCUGGGCCGUAACUGACGCUGAGGAGCGAAAGCAUGGGGAGCGAACAGG